rnacentral:rRNA from 1 species
AUACGUAGGGGGCGAGCGUUGUCCGGAAUUACUAGGCGUAAAGGGCGCGUAGACGGUUUUUUAAGUCUGGAGUGAAAGUCCUGCUUUCAAGGUGGGAAUUGCUUUGGAGACUGGAAGGCUUGAGUGCGGAAGAGGUAAGUGGAAUUCCCAGUGUAGCGGUGAAAUGCGUAGAGAUUGGGAAGAACACCAGUGGCGAAGGCGACUGACUGGGCCGUAACUGACGUUGAUGCGCGAAAGCGUGGGGAGCGAACAGGAUUAGAUACCCUGGUAGUCCACGCGGUAAACGAUGAGUGCUAGGUGUAGCGGGUAUCGACCCCUUCUGUGCCGGAGUUAACACAAUAAGCACUCCGCCUGGGGAGUACGGCCGCAAGGUUGAAACUCAAAUGAAUUGACGGGG